rnacentral:lncRNA from 1 species
CAGGCAGGCAACUGCACCCCUGCUUCCUGAGCCACCUGGGACUUGAAGUUCUACCACUGUGGCUCCAAAGCUGCCCAACUAGAAACCCCAAAAGGCAAGAGAACUACGAUACCCACAAUUCAGGCUCCUCACCCGAAACCAGAAGAGGGCGUAUGGCUAGAGUUUCACCCUAAGAAGAAAGGGGAAGCAGGUGGAAAAGCAAUUAAAAAAAAAUCAGCAUCUCUCUCUAGCCUAUUAUCUCCUGUUAGACACAGCCCAGAAAAUGAAUAGAGACAAGUCCUGGCUGGGUCUGGGUUCAGAAACAUAAUAGAAGGAUUCAUCUAAUGUAAGUAGAUGGCAGAAUGGUGACAAAGAAAAAGUUUCCUUUCCCUUUUCUGCACUUUCUCUCCUACUGUUCUAACCACCCCUUCCUCCCUGAUGCAUCCCUGGCUUCAUGCUGCCAGAUCACCUAAUCCACCCAGAUUCCCUUUGAAGUUUCCCCUUGACUCAUCCCACAAUCCAAACUGAGCUGUUCUGUUUCUUUUUGUCACAGGUUCCUCAACUCUCUACUAGAACCUAGCUUUCCUUUAUGUCAUUAUAUUAUUUCCAAAACAAAUGGUUCUUAAUUUCCCCAAACCCUACAGAGGGCAUUCUGCAUGGCAUUUCUCCUCCCUGAAACCAUUUUUGCUCAUCUUGAAAUGUUCAGAGAUUUCAUUUUUUCCAAAGCUCAAUGAAAAACACUCUUCAAGAUGUCCUUCUCAGUUUGUCUUAAUCUGAGUUAUUCUCUUCCUCCUAAUCAAUUUCAUAAUAUUGCAUCUGCUCCUCUCAUAACACAUUGUAUAUCUCAUUUCAUUGGUUUACAUGGGUGUGUGUGUACCUAUGCAGUCUUACAUUCCUAUUUGAAGGCAAGGCCUCAUUGUAUCCCUACUUCAUUAACUCAUUAAUGUACAAGUAGAUGUUUGUGAUAAACAAUCAACACAUAAAAUAACUGAGAUGUUAACUCUAAGGUGUGUGUGUGUUAAUGCCUAAUGCCAUCUUUAUGUCUCCCGGAAAACAUUUACAUUUAAAAAGCUACCUAAAUGCCAUGCAUGAGUACUGUUAUCAGAAUCCCCCUGCAGUCUGGUCUGGUGUGGCUCCCACAGCCUUUAUUUGCAGAAAGGCAAAGCAUUAAAUCUAGCAAUUGAACCCUUGACAGUACCCGAAAUGAAAGCCCUAGUGGGUCAGCACUCACUGUUUACCAGCUCCAAUCCCUGCUGUGCACUUGCCUUUCUAACAGCUCCCCAAGGACUGGGCUCCCUAGAGUCCUCAGUCCCAUGGUCCUGGAAACCUGGCCCUACCUCUAUCUAUGAUUUUUGAUUAUCAGCUCCAGCAUUUAUGGAUCCCUUCUCCUAUUAUCUAAUCUACGGGCUCUAAAGAUUAAACUGUGCACUUUGGACUAUUUAAAUAGUUCUUAACCACUGAUCUCCUCCCUCAGGGAAGGGAAUUCUUUCCACAGUUGCUAGUUCCUCACACCUCUGCCUCUAUGGGAUUCUCCUGGUCCCCACAUGCUCUGCUGUGUCUUCUAGCUGUCGGCCACUGUGGAGGAAGUGAACCUUCUAGAUCCUGCUGACUCAUACAAUGAGUUUUGUGUGGACCAUCAGACAAAAGGGCUGGCUGGUGAAGGUGGCUGUUGUCUGGAAAUUCCUCCCAGCUCUCCUCUAAUUAUGUCAUAAGGACUGGAGGCCCCUUAGCCUGCUUGUGAUAACACGCAAGGAAAUAUGGGCCAACUCUUCACAUGAACACAAGAUAUUUCCAUGCUAGCCUUUUGCAAGUAACAACAGAGAGAGCUCUGUGCAGUUUUCACUGGAAUGCCUGUGGAUUGCUUGUGUCAUAACUGUAAUCUAAAGAGUUGUCCAUUUGUUGAUUCCUUUGUAUUUGUAUUGGUAGAAUUGCCACUAUCAAACCAAGAUCUUUAGCUGCCUUUGUAUCAACUUCUUUGGAGCUUAUGUGAUUUUCCAGAAAAUUUCCAAGGCAUAGUUUUGUCCCUAAGUCCCAUGAAUAUGUAAUAUUUUGUGUCUCUCUAUUAAAAUAGCACUUUUUGUGCAUUCCAUU